rnacentral:rRNA from 1 species
UGCUUUCAACUCAAUGUUUAGGUUGCCAUUGCCAAUCUUAUCUGAUCUCAGAAGCUAAGCAGGGUUGGACCUAAUCAGUAUUUGGCUGGGAGACUGAGCUAUAGACUGGAUUGGAAAGUAA